rnacentral:tRNA from 1 species
GCUGGUGUAGCUCAGUCGGUAGAGCAGCUGAUUCGUAAUCAGCAGGUCGGGAGUUCGAGUCUCCCCACCAGCUCCA